rnacentral:lncRNA from 1 species
GAGAUUGAAGGAAUCUUCGUGAUUUCAUGAGGUAUGGUUCCUGUCAGAUAGUUUUUACUGAUAUUCAACUGAAUUAGUUUUUCACAAUCACCGAUGUUCCUUGGAAUGGUUCCGUUGAUUGAAUUUCCUUGUAAUUCGAUCCGGUAAAUAUUUUGGCAACCAAUGAAAUUGGGAAUUCUACCGGUGAUUUUGGAAAAUGAAGCUGAGAAAAAUUGUAGGUUAGUUGAAUUCCAAAUGCUGUUUGGUAAAUUGCUUUCAAAUGAGUUUCCUGAGAUGUUUAGGUAUUGUAGGUUUUCUAAUUUUAGUGGAAUUUUGCCAUUGAAAUUGUUGUUGCUUAAAUCUAGGUAGGUUAAAUUUGGAACCAGUGUAAGGGUUUGUGGAAUUGACCCGUUGAGUUUGUUGUUUUGGAUUCGAACCCUAGUGAGUGAGGUACAGUUGUUGAGUGACGAUGGAAGACUAUUGGUGAAAUUGUUGUCGAAGAGAAUGAACCAAACCAAAUUGUUUCCUUUGCAAAUGUUGAUGGGGAUCGAACCUUGAAGUGAGUUUGUGGAAACAUCAAGUAAUUUUAGUAACCCAUUGGAACCGAGUUUUGGUGGUAGUGUACCUCUGAGUGAGUUGUUGAAAACUUGGAAAGUGUUAAGUUUUGAGAGUUCACUAAUUUCUUGUGGAAUUUCACCUCUUAGUUUGUUAUCCAUCAGAUGCAAAAUUGUUAGUUCCUUUAACAUUGUUAUUUCUGAUGGAAUUGAACCCGUGAGUUUAUUUUCUGAUAAAUCAAUAGCUUUUAGGGAUUUCAACUUGCCUAUGCUUGAUGGGAUUUCACCACUUAAGUGAUUCUUGAAAAGAAGCAGUGUUUCAAGCAUGGUUAAGUUUCCUAGUUCAGGAAUCACUAGACCAGAAAUGUUGGCUUGUGAGAUGUCUAAGUAUUUUAGACUACACAACAUUGUUAGUUCAACUGGUAGUGUUCCUGAAUAUGUGUUGUAUCCAAUUUCUAAAUGUUGUAGCUCUGAUAAUAAGCCUAGUUCAGGUGGUAGUGUGCCUUCCAAUGCAUUACCAGCUAAAUCUAGGAACUUGAGUCUUUUGAAAUUUCCAUAGCUUGGUGGGAUUCUUCCAUUGAAGUAGCUUCCACCAAGGCUGAGCUUUUCUAGAAAUGGAAGCCUGAUUAGUUCUUCAGGAAGAGGGCCAGUGAAACUGUUGCUGUAUGCAUUAAAGGUUCUUAAAAAUAUUAACUUCGAAAUUCCAGGUGGAAAAGUUGAGUUGAAAGAGUUAUGGCUAAUGUCUAGUGUUCUAAGUUCACCGAGUUGGAAAAUUGCUGUUUGGAAAGUUCCAUUGAAGUCAUUUCCACUUAUGUUCAAGUGGGUUAAGGUUGUUAAGUAACGGAUUUGGGGUGAGAUUAUGCCUGAAAAUUUGAGGUUAGAGAGGUUUAGUGAAAUGAUUUGUGUUGUUUUUGGGUGGCAAGUGAUGCCUCUCCAAGAACACCAAACUGGGUCUUGGUGGUUAUCGGAAGGAUUUUCCCAGUCAGCGAGUUGAUUUAGAGGGUCAAUUAGGGAGGAUUUUAUUGAGAGGAGGGUGAUGAGUUGAAAGCGAAGAGUUGUGACAGUGGGAACUAAUGGUAGUGUUUGGGAAAAAAUUGACAAUGUGAUUAGAAAGAAAAGAAAAGGUUUCAUUGUUUUGGAGUAAUGAUUUUGUUGUUGAAUCAGUCUUGAUCAAUGCAUCUCAGGAUGAACAGUGUGUUUCAGUUUCAGAGGAGGAUUGGUGUGCAGAUUGAGCAAUUUCUUGGCAGAACAGGGUUCACUUGUUACAGUAGCAUUAUCUGUGCAGAGUUGUGUUGUCUGGUGUCUUUUGUUAUUUAAUCAUCAGUGUCAGUAGGCUUGCGAUAAUUGUUUUGCAGGUGGCUUUUAGGUGAUCAGGCUUUCAUAUGUUGAAGGACCUGAUUGUUUCAUAUAUUGAAUUGUGGUGGUGCUAGCAUUUGCUUGUACUUGAAUUUUAGGUUUUGUAGCUUUGGUGUUGCUUGGUUUUGGAUGUAGUUGUGUUAUAUCUUCAGUGUUUUUUGAAGAAGGUUGAGAAAUAUCUUCAGUGUUGCUUGGUUAAUGCAGCACAAGUUUUAUAAAGAAGGUUGAUAAAUAAACAAGGAGUUUGAUCAUAUUUAUAACUAGCAUAAAGUUACAUUAAUUUUUCUUUGCAAAAAUGAGUACUAUUUUUUCCCAGGUAGCAUAAUCUUUCUUCACUCACAAGUAAGUGUGUUAAUAAGGAAGGUGAAUAAAUUCCCUUAAAAAGAAAGGGAGUUAAAUUAAAAUAUCUGAUUAAAGGCUUCGUUUGAGUCAGUUUUGUAAAAAUGUCAAAAUGCCUCCCAUUUUUUCUCCAGGAAGCACAAUUUUUCUUCACUCAAAUAAGUGUGCUAAUAAGGAAGGUGAAUAAAUUCCCUUAAAAAGAAAAAAAAAAAAAAAAAAAAAGGAAGGUGUAUAAACUAACAUCUGAUUUUUAAAUAGAGCAAUGCUAUAUGUUACGAUUAAUUUCACGUAUGAAAACUGACGAAUGCACAAAUGUCUAGUUUUAAAGGAAUAAAAAAUCAGAUUUAGUAUGCUGGAACACAAAUCAUGGGGCAGUGGCAAUUAAAGCUUGACAAUCAUCACUUGAAUAAUACUAAAAAUACUUACUUUACAGAAUACAUGGUGGUACGACAUUCAAAGUGUAAGCAAUUAACAGAAUUCGUAGCUUUUCGUAGUUACCAUCUCGUACCAUCCAUCAUUACCCUUUUAAAUAAGAGGUGCAAAAAUUCUUUUAAAAAAAAAAAAGAGGUGCAUAAAUAUUUCAUCUUUUUUUUCUUUUUUCUUUUUUAGAAAUGUCACCAUUGUUUUAUACCUCUUACUAUGCAUUCAUUGUUAUUUUUAAAAUAAAAGAUGUUUUUUUUAAGCCAAAAUUUAAAAUAAAAGAUGUUUUUUUUUUGACAAAAAUAAAAGAUGUUACGACACAUGAAAUGACGAUUGAAUGCAUAGUAACCGUUAGAUCAAAUCUUUUUUUAUUUAUUUAUGCAAAUACAAAAACACUGCACCGGUUAUAAGUCGUGGGUUACAUUUGUUGUACUACACAGCAAUCAUCUUUUAAAAAUAACCCACCAUUUCCUUUCCUUUAAUAUAUAUUUAGUUUUUAUAUUCUUAUGUUUUAUUUUUCAUCUUUUUUCGUUUAUGAUGAUAUUUUAGGGAUUCGACUCUAUCUUUAUUCUUUCAAUAGUCCUUUGGUACAAAAUGGAGAUUGCCCUGUCUACCAAUGUGUACAAAAUUCCAUUCAUCGAAUGCCGUGUACAAAUCAUUGACGUCUUACCAGGGGAGGCUAAUGCAAAAAACAUUAGAGCAUAAGGUUAUUGUACUUUUCCCUAAAUUAUAUUCAUUUUGUAAACAUAAAAAGUUGUUUUUAUCCUCUUGUAAAAAUAAUUUCAUUCAUCCUCUAUACUACAUAUGAAUAAUGGUCCGGAUAGUCUUUGAACUACUCUUGAAAAUGAUCCUAUGUAGUUACGUAGAUGAUGAUGGUGACAUUCUUCCCUCUAGGUUAACACUUUGACGAGGUAAUGAUCGAUAAAGAUCAUCUGAUCAAUUUUUCUUAAAACAAUUGAAUGACUUGCCUACCUCUGAUAUAAUGUUCACUUAAAAUGACACUUAUCUUUCCUUUGAAAACAAAUCACAGAAAAUACUUCGAAAAUAUUUACAUAUGCUACAAAUUUUCUUGUUAAGUAAUUUCCCAGGAAGAAAAGGAAGGGUUAGCGAUGUCCAGAGAGCGAGAGAGAGAGAGCGUGGUGGUUAUCCUCAUCAUCACCGAGGACAACCACGUCGGUAUUCACCUUCACCAGAAACAAGGUACCAUAGGGGGGGGGGGGGGGGGGGGGGGGGGCAGGGGGGGGGCCCAGGGGGGGGGGCAAAGGGGGGCUGCGGGGGGGGGGGGGGGCAUAGGGGAGAGUGGUCUGACGUGAGAUUGCGAAAGGGGAAAGCGCAGGAACAGGUCGAUGGACAACGGGACAGGCUUCGGGAGGAUCAACGAUAUGGUGGAUCAAGGGAACGACGAUUUGGAUAGUCUAGGGUUAGGGUGCGACAUGAUUCGGCAUUCCGGUACGAUUCUGAGGAGGAGUCAGAGUAUGGUUAUCAAGAGUUAUCACAUGAUGGGAAGGCUACAGUCCAUUAUCAACAUAUUGAGAGAACUAGGGCACGUGAUUGUUUGUCUUAUGAUGUUGCACAUGUUUUGGAACCGCGACGUUUUCCUACCAGCAGCCAUGGGAAAGUCGCGACUGUUUAUCCAGAUGAGGGGGACGAUCAGUACUAUCAACAACCUCAUCGACACUCCUCGCGUCAUGUUGCCACAGUUCAUCGUGCCCAAACAACAGGUCAGCGGGGAAAGUCUGACACGGUUAAUCAGCAUUUUGUUUCCUUUUAUUUUACUAAUAUCCCGCAUGAUAUUUCAUAUGUUUCUCUAAGAAAAGGUUUCGAGGUGUGGUAUUAUGGAGGAUGUUUAUUUGGCCCAGAAACGUAAUGUUAACGGGGGUGCUUUUGGUUUUGUGCGUUUUAGAAAGGUGAAGGAUGUGGAGAAACUAUUGAUGGCGUUGAACAACGUGUAUUUUGGUGAUUGGAGGGUGGUUGCUAAAGUAGCAAGUUUUGAUCGUUUCGGAAAUAGUAAGGGUGAAGGUAGGGAGCGGGGAGAGGGGGACAAAAGAAGAGAUGGAGGUAACAAUUUUGAGGGAGAAAAAAGAAAGGCGGAUGGAGGGAAGGUUAAUGAGGGAGAAAAAAGGAAGGACGGUGGGAAUGAUCUCGUUGUAGGUGGAGAGGUGUUAUGUGGAGAGACUGGGAAGCGUAGAGUUGUUGCUGCCAUAGAAGAGGUGGUGGAAGCGGAUAAGGUACAUGUUCCGAAGUAUACUUCAACGGAACAAGAUGUAGCAUGGGCUGGUAAAGGUAUGGUGGUCACGGUUUUGAAUGGUGUGGCGAUUCCAUUGUUACAACGUCAGAUUUAUGAUGCGGGGUUUGAAAAUUUGGUCAUUAUUCCUUUGGGCGCUGACAAGGUUUUGUUGAGGUUAGAGGAUGAAGGGGAUGUUAGUAUCUUUUGUCGGAAGCUGCUAAUUUUUUUGACAAUUUUUUCUCAAAUCCUAUGAAAUGGAAGAAGGAGUUAGUGGUUCGGGAAAGAGGAGCUUGGGUGAGAAUUUAUGGGGUACCUUUGCAUGCAUGGAACCUUGAUUUUUUUUCAAAUUAUGUGUAUACGAUUGUGGUCGACUUUUGCGAGUGGAUGAUUAUACCUUGGAAAAAUUACGUUUUUAUUAUGUGAGGGUAUUAAUUUCUACUUCAUCGUUGGAUCUUAUUAUUACCGGUGCAAAGGUUUUGGUGGAUGGAGAACUUCUUGACUUUAAAAUUGUUGAGGAGGGGGGGUUCUUUAGGGGAGGAUGCUUGUUUGGAGGGUGAUGAUGAGUACCUAGAUGACGACGACUCGGGUAAAGAGGGAGUUCAUGAAGAGGUGGCUGCUAGCGGGGAUGUUGAUAACUUAUUGCAACAUUUAUCAGAGGAAUGGAAGAAGGAGCAAGAUGUUUUACAAACUCGGUUUUCUCCUCUCUCACAAGGAGCAGAUACGGGUCUGAAGCAAGCAGAGACCGUUCCACAAGAAGAUAUGGUGGCACAAGGGCACUCGGCCUCCAUUGAGCAGAUGGGAAACGCUUCAGGCACGGCACCUUCAGUUGUGCCUGGUUUGUGCGCCACAGGUGCUAUGAAGCACAAUGAAACCAUUGUUUUGGAUACCGAAGGUGAUAAUGGUCAUACUGGUGAAACUCAUCAGUCACGUGGUAUUGUUAAGCCUAUAGUGAAGCGUACUUCUUCUUGUCCUCCAGGAAGAGAUCAUUUGGUGUCGGCGGGUCCUUGGAGUUUGAAGUGGGUCAAAACUCGUAAGAAAGGAGCAUCUAGCGAAACUACUUUACCAAAGGCUAAUGUUAACAACAAAUCUCAAUCAGGUGAGCGUAGAGUUACAAAGAGGAAGGGUGGUGGUUACCUCCGUCAUUGUGCUCAGAAUUUGAAGAGAAUAGCGAGACUCUUUGAUGAAGACCGAAUGGCAGUUUUGUGUGCUUUGCGUAAACCUCAUAGACGCCGUCAGGGGGUUGAAGGGGCAGCAAAGGAUAAGGUAAAUUCUAAUGAUAAUUCUUCUCUUAGUGGGUCACGGGCUUCUGUUAAUAAUGAUUGGAUGAAUUGGUUGAUUUUACAUGGUAACAAAAAGGUGAUGUCAGACGAUGUCCGGGAUAUAGGAAAUGUGGUGGGGGUGAAAUUUCAAGGGGACAAGAAUAAUAAAUUUGAUGUGUUGUCAGGGGUGGGAAGAAAAAAUAAAGAGGGAGAUGGGAAAGGGAAGUAGGCCAAGGGUUGGUGUGAGGUGGGAGGGGGGUUGCUGGUGCGGAGGUGUGAGUGGUUGUUAUGAAGAUAAUUUCCUGAAAUGUUAGGGGGUUAGGAGGGGCAGAAAAAAGAAGGGAGGUGAGGCAGUUGGUGAGGGAGAAAAAUCUAUUUAUUUUGUGUAUUCAAGAAACAAAGUUGCAUGUUUUUACUGACAUGAUUUGUAAUGCUAUAUGGAAUGACCCAAAUGUUGAUUUUUCUUAUCUGCUGUCGAUUGGUGCGUCAGGAGGGUUAAUUACUCUUUGGGACCGUAAAGAAGUUGAUGUGUGGAUGUCUUUUUCUUUUGGGCAUGUUUUAGGCAUUCAAGGAUGUUUUGUGAAGACUGGUGAACAUUUUACUUUAUUUAAUGUUUAUGCUCCGUGUGAUCAUAAUCGUCAACAGGUUCUCUGGCAAAAUAUUUUUGUUCGUUUGGCUUGCUUGAAUGAUCUUAAUAUCUGUCUUUGUGGGGAUUUUAACGCGGUCCGGUGUAUGGAGGAAAGACGUAGUGUGGGAAGUGUCGGUAUCAGUGGUGGUAGCGCCCUCUUUAAUCAGUUGAUUAAUGAUAAUUUUCUGGUUGACUUACCUCUCCGGGGUCGCAGCUUCACGUGGUACCGAGGGGAUGGGAGGUCUAUGAGUCGUCUUGAUCGCUUUUUAUUAUCAGAUAGGUGGUGUCAGACGUGGCCUAAUUGUUUUCAGCUGGCUUCGACUCGGGGACUAUCAGAUCAUUGUCCUAUUCAUCUUUGUAUUGAUAUUGAAAAUUGGGGACCCCGACCGGUUCGCAUGUUAAAAUGUUGGGAGAACUUUCAAGGUUAUCAGUCUUUUGUUUGCGAAAAAUGGAAUUAUAUUCAAGUGGAAGGCUGGGGUGGCUAUGUUUUGAAAGAAAAACUAAAGUUAAUUAAGUUCGCUUUAAAGGAAUGGCAUCAGCGUCACUCAAAGAAUUUACCUGCUAGAAUGUCUUCCUUAAAGGAUCAAAUUACUGCUCUUGUAUUGAAGGGUGAGGAAUCGGUUUUGGUGGACGAUGAGAUAGAGGAGUUGCAUGGUGUUUCCGAGGAGUUGUUUUCGUUGUCUCAGAUAAAUUCUAGUAUUUGUUGGCAACAGUCUCGGAUGCAAUGGUUACGUGAAGGGGAUGCGAAUACUAAGUUCUUUCACAACAUUAUGUCUAGCAGGAGCCGUCAAAAUGCUAUUCCGUUCUUCUUGGUGGACAGUGUGUUGGUGGAAGGUGUAGCUAAUGUCCGGUCAGCAGUGUAUAAUCAUAUUUUUCAUAUCACUUUCAACAACAUAAUGCAAAUCGGCCUUCUAUGGAUGCGUUACAGUUUCGUUCCUUAUCUUGUCAAGACGGGGCAGGUUUGAUCAAA